rnacentral:rRNA from 1 species
GAUGAACGCUGGCGGCGUGCUUAACACAUGCAAGUCGAGCGAAGCAGUUAAGAAGAUUCUUCGGAUGAUUCUUAACUGACUGAGCGGCGGACGGGUGAGUAACGCGUGGGUGACCUGCCCCAUACCGGGGGAUAACAGCUGGAAACGGCUGCUAAUACCGCAUAAGCGCACAGAGCUGCAUGGCUCGGUGUGAAAAACUCCGGUGGUAUGGGAUGGGCCCGCGUCUGAUUAGGCAGUUGGCGGGGUAACGGCCCACCAAACCGACGAUCAGUAGCCGGCCUGAGAGGGCGACCGGCCACAUUGGGACUGAGACACGGCCCAAACUCCUACGGGAGGCAGCAGUGGGGAAUAUUGCACAAUGGGGGAAACCCUGAUGCAGCGACGCCGCGUGAGCGAAGAAGUAUUUCGGUAUGUAAAGCUCUAUCAGCAGGGAAGAUAAUGACGGUACCUGACUAAGAAGCCCCGGCUAACUACGUGCCAGCAGCCGCGGUAAUACGUAGGGGGCAAGCGUUAUCCGGAUUUACUGGGUGUAAAGGGAGCGUAGACGGCAAGGCAAGUCUGAUGUGAAAACCCAGGGCUUAACCCUGGGACUGCAUUGGAAACUGUCUGGCUCGAGUGCCGGAGAGGUAAGCGGAAUUCCUAGUGUAGCGGUGAAAUGCGUAGAUAUUAGGAAGAACACCAGUGGCGAAGGCGGCUUACUGGACGGUAACUGACGUUGAGGCUC